CCUACGGGUGGCAGCAGUGAGGAAUAUUGGUCAAUGGACGAGAGUCUGAACUAGCCAAGUAGCGUGAAGGAUGACUGCCCUAUGGGUUGUAAACUUCUUUUAUAUGGGAAUAAAACGUUCCACGUGUGGGAUUUUGUAUGUACCAUAUGAAUAAGGAUCGGCUAACUCCGUGCCAGCAGCCGCGGUAAUACGGAGGAUCCGAGCGUUAUCCGGAUUUAUUGGGUUUAAAGGGAGCGUAGGUGGAUUGUUAAGUCAGUUGUGAAAGUUUGCGGCUCAACCGUAAAAUUGCAGUUGAAACUGGCAGUCUUGAGUACAGUAGAGGUGGGCGGAAUUCGUGGUGUAGCGGUGAAAUGCUUAGAUAUCACGAAGAACUCCGAUUGCGAAGGCAGUUCACUGGACUGCAACUGACACUGAGGCUCGAAAGUGUGGGUAUCAAACAGGAUUAGAUACCCCAGUAGUC
rnacentral:rRNA from 1 species